UACGGGGGGAGCAAGCGUUGUUCGGAUUUACUGGGCGUAAAGGGCGCGUAGGCGGCCACUGCAAGUCAGUUGUGAAAUCCCCGGGCUCAACCCGGGAACUGCGUCCGAUACUGGCAGGCUUGAAUCCGGGAGAGGGAUGCGGAAUUCCAGGUGUAGCGGUGAAAUGCGUAGAUAUCUGGAGGAACACCGGUGGCGAAGGCGGGUCUCUGGGCCGAUACUGACGCUGAGGAGCGAAAGCGUGGGGAGCGAACAGG
rnacentral:rRNA from 1 species